rnacentral:rRNA from 1 species
AUGUUCGAACAAUUUGGGCAUAUUUUGUAUGAGUGUGGGGCUUAUCAGGUAGAGGAGAUUGAGAAGCACAGGACAUACAUUGCGAUUCAUAGUGAAGCAGAAAAAAGAGAGAAGUGGUGCAGAGUAUCUUACAAAGUCACUAUGCUUGAUGGUGGCAACGAGUUUAAGUGCGAGUGUGGGCGGUUUGCACAUAUGGGCCUGCUUUGCAUUUAUGUUCUGAAGGUGGGGAAAUAA